rnacentral:rRNA from 1 species
AGCGAACGCUGGCGGCAGGCCUAACACAUGCAAGUCGAACGAACCUUUCGGGGUUAGUGGCGGACGGGUGAGUAACACGUGGGAACGUGCCUUUAGGUUCGGAAUAACUCAGGGAAACUUGUGCUAAUACCGAAUGUGCCCUUCGGGGGAAAGAUUAAUCGCCUUUAGAGCGGCCCGCGUCUGAUUAGCUAGUUGGUUGAGGUAAUGGCUCACCAAGGCGACGAUCAGUAGCUGGUCUGAGAGGAUGAUCAGCCACAUUGGGACUGAGACACGGCCCAAACUCCUACGGGAGGCAGCAGUGGGGAAUCUUGCGCAAUGGGCGAAAGCCUGACGCAGCCAUGCCGCGUGAAUGAUGAAGGUCUUAGGAAUGUAAAAUUCUUUCACCGGGGACGAUAAUGACGGUACCCGGAGAAGAAGCCCCGGCUAACUUCGU